CUGGAAAAGGUGAUAGAGUGAAAGAUUACUAUGCUCUUCUAGAGUUCAUUAUUCAUCGCUACCCCAUGUGAGGUUUUAAGAACAAAACACAGAAAUAUCUGAAUGACACUUCAUUGCUUAAUUCAUGUUUAAGUUGAAUUGUAUCUCUUUUGCGUUCCACAGUGAUCUGAGAGUCCAUGAGAGUGCCCUUAUAAUGGCAGAGGACCGGAACAAAAUAAAAACUUCUUACUGUGAUUGCCAAUUGGGACCAUCCUUAAAAUGGCUUUAUCCACUGGGAGAUUACCUUAGCAACAUUAUUGGAAUGGAAAAUGAGAAAAAUAUAAAAGAUAUGCACUGGUUAGUAAUUACCCAGACAUCAGGUAAGUGUUAUAGGAACUUUGAAUAUAUUGCUAUUUUUACAACAAUACAUGUUUUGUACACUUAACUAUUACAUGUAGUAUAGUUAUCAUGUAUUUAACUUUUCAUUUCUAGCAAGAAGCAGUUGUCAGCUGUUCUGUCCUUCAGAGACAAUGGUUUAAACUUUGAGAGUGACAAGAAGUGACAAGAAUCUGAUCACAUCACUGUACUGCCUUACUUAAGGAUACUUUAUAAAUACAUAUAUUUAUAUGUAUAUAGGCUGACAUGUAUUCUAAGUAUCUAAGUAUCACACUAUUAUGUUUACAGAGAUUCUCUUGGCCAUUCGGAUGCUUCGGGAACCAUCAGGAACUAUAAACAAUUGCAUUAUUUUAUGAGGCUACUUGUGCUAUUUGCCUCUAACCAUCCAUUAUUUUUUUAGCAAGAAUUUAACCAUUUAACUAUUAUUGUGCAGCCUUAUUUUGGUGUAUGUUUUGGUUGUUUGUACGUAUAUUUUCCAACAGAGGGAGACAUUAAACUAUAGAUGCAAAUUUCGCAUUUCCUCCAUAUUGCCUAAUCAUGCAUAAAGAGACUUGGUGGAUUCAGUCUAUCUACUGUUAUAUCAAUCAAUCAUCUAAAUGUGAAUUAUAAAACACAAUGCUGGACAAAACUGAGUGUGUGCUGUGCAAUAUUAACUCCAGGUGGACUCAGCUCUUGCAACAAAACCUAUUGGUUGGUUAUUCAUAUUUUGUCCCUCCCUCUUCUCUUGUUUAAUGCAAAUUUAAAAUUUUUUUUUUUUUUUUUUUUUUUUUUGCCUAAACCUAACAUUCUCUCUGAUUUUUAUCAAUGAACAAAACAUGUAGAUAAAAUUCAUUUUCACCGCUACAGUGUGUUAUUGAACAGAUAUUUACUUUUACAUACUUUCGCAAUGUUUUGGGGAUAUUUAUACAGAUAUUGAUGUGAGAUGCCAUCUUUGUUUACAUAAUCAUGUUUGAUUUUGUUUUAAUGACUUAACUAUAUGAGGUGGUGAAUUUAUUAAUGAAAUAAUUAUUAAACAUUUUACACAUUUCCACAUGCAAAUAGAGUGUAUUUGUUUAUCUGCCUGAGAGAGUGUGUUAUUUCAGGACAGGCUGGCUUGUGUCCAGAUGUCCUGAGGAUUACAAUCUUAUCCACAGUCUCUAGAAUUAGAUGUCAUGAAAUGGGUAGGAGGGGAUUUUAAAGAUAUUUGUAGUUCACUGAAUGCCAUGGGUCUCUGGCUCGCCCACAAGUCCUCUUCAGCUAAAAAUUACACUUUGUUCUCCUCCUCUCACCUCCACAUAAGCAUCUCUAUCACUUUUGCUUCCUGCAAAUUCAUAAUCCCUCUUUUUCUCCAACUUGCUCUACUUAACGUGAUCACAGGUCUAUUUGCCUUUUUCCUCCUCUCCUUCUUUCAAGAGGAUGCAGCUUAUUCAAAUAUCUUCUAGCUGAUUUGUAUACAGAGACUGUAGGCAGCUGAUGACUUCCUGGGUGUCAUGUCAUUGUGAAGAUGUGUGUGUGUGUGUUUGUGUGUGUAUGAAAAUGCAUGUCAGGGCUUCUGUCUCUGGUGCUCAGUAUUAUAUUUAGCUCAUCAUAGCGUACCUGAUAUCAGACACAUUCCAGCGCUUUCUCUGUCUCUCACCCUGCCUUACCUUAUCAUGCGGAGCAGGAGUCAAACUCACCAGUCAAAUGCUAUCAGGUUUAAUAAAACUCUCACGAGGUCCA
ensembl:lncRNA